GGAAUUUUGGACAAUGGACGAAAGUCUGAUCCAGCAACGCUGCGUGAAGGACGAAGGUUCUCGGAUUGUAAACUUCUUUUGCAGGGGAAGAAACAAAUGACGGUACCCUGUGAAUAAGCCACGGCUAACUACGUGCCAGCAGCCGCGGUAAGACGUAGGUGGCAAGCGUUACUCGGAAUUACUAGGCGUAAAGCGCGCGUAGGCGGAAUUUUAAGUCUGUUGUGUAAUCUCUGGGCUCAACCCAGAAACUGCAACAGAAACUGAAUUUCUUGAGUGAGGCAGAGGAAGACGGAAUUCCUGGUGUAGCAGUGAAAUGCGUAGAUAUCAGGAGGAACACCGGUGGCGAAGGCGGUCUUCUGGGCCUUUACUGACGCUCAAGCACGAAAGCUAGGGGAGCAAACG
rnacentral:rRNA from 1 species